CGAGUGAAGCGGGAAGAGCUCAAAUUUGAAAUCUGGCGGCCUUUGGUCGUCCGAGUUGUAGUCUGGAGAAGCGUCUUCCGCGCCGGACCGUGUACAAGUCCCUUGGAACGGGGCGUCAUAGAGGGUGAGAAUCCCGUCUUUGACACGGACCGCCGGUGCUUUGUGAUGCGCUCUCAAAGAGUCGAGUUGUUUGGGAAUGCAGCUCAAAACGGGUGGUAAAUUCCAUCUAAAGCUAAAUAUUGGCGAAAGACCGAUAGCGAACAAGUACCGUGAGGGAAAGAUGAAAAGCACUUUGGAAAGAGAGUUAAACAGUACGUGAAAUUGUUGAAAGGGAAACGCUUGAAGUCAGUCGCGUCUCUUGGGACUCAGCCUUGCUUUUGCCUGGCGUACUUCCUGAGGUGACGGGCCAGCAUCGAUUUUGACCGUCGGAGAAAGGCCUUGGGAAUGUGGCACCUCCGGGUGUGUUAUAGCCCUGGGUCGCAUGCGACGGUUGGGAUCGAGGACCGCAGCACGCCUUUUUGGCCGGGGUUCGCCCACGUAACGUGCUUAGGAUGCUGGCGUAAUGGCUUUAAGCGACCCGUCUUGAAACACGGACCAAGGAGUCUAACAUGCCCGCGAGUGUUUGGGUGGAAAACCCGGACGCGUAAUGAAAGUGAAAUGUUGGGACCUCUGUCGCGGAGGGCACCGACGCCCGGACCAGACCUUCUGUGACGGCUCCGAGGUAGAGCGUGCAUGCUGGGACCCGAAAGAUGGUGAACUAUGCCUGAGUAGGGUGAAGCCAGAGGAAACUCUGGUGGAGGCUCGUAGCGAUUCUGACGUGCAAAUCGAUCGUCGAACUUGGGUAUAGGGGCGAAAGACUAAUCGA
rnacentral:rRNA from 1 species